GAUGAACGCUGGCGGCGUGCCUAAUACAUGCAAGUCGAGCGAACGGACGAGAAGCUUGCUUCUCUGAUGUUAGCGGCGGACGGGUGAGUAACACGUGGAUAACCUACCUAUAAGACUGGGAUAACUUCGGGAAACCGUAGCUAAUACCGGAUAAUAUUUUGAACCGCAUGGUUCAAAAGUGAAAGACGGUCUUGCUGUCACUUAUAGAUGGAUCCGCGCUGCAUUAGCUAGUUGGUAAGGUAACGGCUUACCAAGGCAACGAUGCAUAGCCGACCUGAGAGGGGGAUCGGCCACACUGGAACUGAGACACGGUCCAGACUCCUACGGGAGGCAGCAGUAGGGAAUCUUCCGCAAUGGGCGAAAGCCUGACGGAGCAACGCCGCGUGAGUGAUGAAGGGCUUCGGAUCGUAAAACGCUGUUAUUAGGGAAGAACAUAUGUGUAAGUAACUGUGCACAUCUUGACGGUACCUAAUCAGAAAGCCACGGCUAACUACGU
rnacentral:rRNA from 1 species